CCUCGGCAAAGAAAAGCAUGAUGUCGGCGAAGUUCUCGACCUUGUCCCUCCCUGGAUAGCGUAGCGCUUCUUCCUCAGGUUGGUCUUCAGCUCCGCACCGAACUUAUCUGGGACGCCACAGCGCGGCUUUUUCAUCGCCCUGGAAACCACAUCGCCACGAAACCCUGGGUGCCAGAACUUUUGGAACUCUUACGGUCAGGCCGGUUUUCUGGCUCUCCGGCGCUAACGGACACUAGGCGCGAGGGCC